rnacentral:misc_RNA from 1 species
UAACAUAGGGCAAAGAAGGGAUGGGAGAAAAUAGAGGGGAAAAUGUAGUACACGUUAGAUUGAUCAUCAUUGACUUUGGACUAUGCAUCAACAAGGCUUUCUGAAAAAAAGUUCCUUUAUCAAUUUGUUGCCACAUAACAAGGCCUCUGAUAAAAAACUGGCUUCAUGUCAAUAGAAAAUUGCAAUCACACUGUUGAUUCUUGACAAAAAAUUAAAUGUUCACUUUUUUUUUAAUUGUUCUUUUAAAAAUUUGCAAGUCAACUCUGCAAUUUCAGCUACAUGUUUG